UCAAAGUCAGACUCAUAUUGAGGGAAAAAUGAAUCUGAGUCGGUUACCACUGAAACACCAGGUCCACCUAAUUGAACAUCGUAAAUAGAAUUUUUAUGGGCUAAUAGUGAUUCUUUACAUAACUUAAAUUCCUCUUCUUUGCACUCAGGUGUUAAUAAAGUAAUCGUACAACCUCCACCACCGGCACCUGUAAGCUUCGUCCAUCCAAUUGACUUAGUGGCUUGUAAAACGCGAUCAAUGGAAUAAUGGGAUACACCCAAGCAUUCUAAGAGUUUUUGAUUAAGAACAAUAAACUCUCCUAACUUUUUAGCGGAGGAGUUUUUAUCGCUCUCCGAAGUCAAUGCGAGGACGGCAGACUUUGAUAUGCCAUCGAUUGCAUCUAUUAUUGAGUCAAUCACAGUUGGUAGUCUUUCCUUCAGUUCAAAAACUCCUUGUACAAGUUUUUUAGUACUUUUUGGUUGUUUGGUAUCAGUGAUCAUAACAGAUAAGGUAUCUUUAGGCUUUAAGAAUUCUUUCAUGGCACUCUGAUGAGCUGUAGCUUUACGAAAAGCGAUAAGUCCUCCAUUUGUUGCUACUGCAUUAUCAAUACCACUUGGUGUUCCAUGAAUACAGCAUUCACCUAGAAAAGACCAAGCCUCUAUCAACGCAAGUGCUUUGUUGUUUUGAAGAGAAUUUGAGCUAGGAGGUUCAAUAUUACCAAAAGCUAGUAGUAAACUUGUAGCGACAACAACUGAUAUAGUAGCACUACUACCUAAUCCAGCACCCAAAGGUACUUGGGAGCUAAUAGUUAAAGUACAACCCUGAGAAGGAGAAGACAAAGACGUGAACAAGUAAAGGGUACAAAGCAUUGCUGAGUGAAUAAGUCCGUUUUCUUCAUUUUUUAAUAGCUCUCCUAAUCCUUGUAAAAGGUCCAGAUUGGGAGAUGAUGCCGGGUGCUGAACGUUUUCCACUGUUACAUGCUGCCAAGGUAGCGAUUGAAGAUUCCAUCGGCGUUCGGUCCCUAUAUCACUCAUCACAAUUACUAUUUCAUUGUUAUUAGUCGUCUGUAAUUUACAGUAACUCCGUAACGAUACAGCUGCAGCUAACGCAGUCUAGAAAGUUAGCAUAAAAAUUUAAAUGAUCUCCAUAUUUUCGCUUUAAAAUGGCUUAAGAUUAGAAUCAAAAAUAAGCAUGGCUAUAGCAGAAUGACAUUUGCGACGACUGUCAAAGUUAAAAGUGGUGUUCGCUUUGCAAAUACUAUGUUACAAAGAAAUCAUAUAUGCAUAACAGAGCUGUAUCCAGUACUAGCCUGUUAAAAACUCUCGCUAAUGUAAUCUGCUUUAAACCUUAGGUAAACUUACAGCUCCAUAUACAACGGCAUGUUCCCCAAACAAAAUCGUUUUUCCUGGCGACGAAACAAUAAGCGAUUUUGACAUUUCAGAAAUUUUUUUUACGUUCAACUUCAAAACACAGUUAAAAUAAGGUGAUGGUAAAUAGGCGACGAAGGUUGGUUAUCGACAGAUAUCUACGCAAACAGGACAAGGUGAUGAUGGUAUUGGAAGUUGUAGCAAAAGAUUGGUAUUUUAAUUAAAAAGUUACUU